AUUGAACGCUGGCGGCAUGCCUUACACAUGCAAGUCGAACGGUAACAGGUCUUCGGAUGCUGACGAGUGGCGAACGGGUGAGUAAUACAUCGGAACGUGCCCGAUCGUGGGGGAUAACGCAGCGAAAGCUGUGCUAAUACCGCAUACGAUCUACGGAUGAAAGCGGGGGAUCUUCGGACCUCGCGCGGACGGAGCGGCCGAUGGCAGAUUAGGUAGUUGGUGGGGUAAAGGCUUACCAAGCCUACGAUCUGUAGCUGGUCUGAGAGGACGACCAGCCACACUGGGACUGAGACACGGCCCAGACUCCUACGGGAGGCAGCAGUGGGGAAUUUUGGACAAUGGGCGAAAGCCUGAUCCAGCAAUGCCGCGUGCAGGAAGAAGGCCUUCGGGUUGUAAACUGCUUUUGUACGGAACGAAAAGGAUCUCUCUAAUACAGGGGUCUGGUGACGGUACCGUAAGAAUAAGCACCGGCUAACUACGUGCCAGCAGCCGCAGUAACAC
rnacentral:rRNA from 1 species